UUACUAAAGUUUAGUAAAUAAAUAAAUAAGUUAACAUAAUAUGUCUAAAAGUUGAUGAACUCCUCCAUUUUCUUAUUGCUCUCUCUCUCUAUUCUCCCUAUAUAUAUAUAUAUAUCCUCUCUUAUCUUGCAGUCCACCUGGCCAAAACAUACUCCUAACAUCUUUCAAAAAUACAGACACAUUAGAUAAGAUUGUCCUGGAUUCAGUACCUCAGAAUGAGAAAUAGAAAUUCCAGACCAUUGAGAAAUAAGCUUCUUGUAUUUUGUAAGAUUAUUUAAAUUGAUGUUGGACAGUUUAACUGGGCUGGCACAGGCUCCAGUCUGAUUUAACAUGGUUUUCUUUGGCUGGAUUCCCUUCCUAAUGCCAACCACUCCGAGAAUGUAAUGCAUGCUUUUAUGUGCCACUUGUAUGGGUGCCAUCUGCAUGACACCGGUGUCUGCCACGACUGCAAUUUUGUUCCAGAUGGAAAUUUUUUUCCAUUUUAAAACCUUUAAAUAAUUAGAUACCUACAGGGUGCUAUUUGGUUAAUGUAUUUUUCCGGUACACCUUUUAAAAUUUAUGCUAACUGGUUUUACUUGGUUGUGACCAUACCAGAAUAUUAUAUUGAGUGAAAGUGA